GGACGGCUAACUCUGUGCCAGCAGCCGCGGUAAUACAGAGGUCCCAAGCGUUGUUCGUGAUUUACUGGGCGUAAAGGGUGCGUAGGCGGUGGGGAAAGUUCGGGGUGAAAUCUCCAGGCUCAACUUGGAAAUUGCCUUGAAUACUUCCCUGCUCGAGGGUCGCAGAGGAGACUGGAAUUCUCGGUGUAGCAGUGAAAUGCGUAGAUAUCGAGAGGAACACCAGUGGCGAAAGCGGGUCUCUGGGCGACACCUGACGCUGAGGCACGAAAGCCAGGGGAGCAAACGGGAUUAGAUACCCCGGUAGUCCUGGCCCUAAACGGUGCGCACUUGCUGUGAGCGGCUUCAAAACCCGCUCGUGGCGGAGUUAACACGUUAAGUGCGCCGCCUGAGGAGUACGGUCGCAAGAUUAAAACUCAAAGAAAUUGACGGGGGCCUGCACAAGCGGUGGAGUAUGUGGCUUAAUUCGAUGCAACGCGAAGAACCUUACCUGGUCUUGACAUGCAAGUAGUAGAAGCCUGA
rnacentral:rRNA from 1 species